GGAGCCGUGCCUGAACACCCAAGGACCACUUUGAUAGAGUGAAAAAUGAAGGUUAAAGUCCUUCCCGCUCCU
rnacentral:tRNA from 1 species